AGUGAACGCUGGCGGUAGGCCUAACACAUGCAAGUCGAACGGCAGCACAGUAAGAGCUUGCUCUUACGGGUGGCGAGUGGCGGACGGGUGAGGAAUACAUCGGAAUCUACUUUUUCGUGGGGGAUAACGUAGGGAAACUUACGCUAAUACCGCAUACGACCUACGGGUGAAAGCAGGGGAUCUUCGGACCUUGCGCGAUUGAAUGAGCCGAUGUCGGAUUAGCUAGUUGGCGGGGUAAAGGCCCACCAAGGCGACGAUCCGUAGCUGGUCUGAGAGGAUGGUCGGCGGCAUUGGAAGUGAGCCACCGUCCAGACUCCUGCGGUAGGGACCAGUGUGGAAUGUUGGGCAGUGGGCGCGAGUCUGGCCCAGCCAUCCCGCGUGUGUGAAGGAGGCCUUCCGUUCGUAAAGCCCUUUUGUUGGUAAAAAAAAGCAGCAGGUUAAUACCCCGCUGUUCUGACGGUACCCAAAGAAUAAGCACCGGCUAACUUCGUG
rnacentral:rRNA from 1 species